UACGGAGGGAGCUAGCGUUGUUCGGAAUUACUGGGCGUAAAGCGCACGUAGGCGGCUUUGUAAGUUAGAGGUGAAAGCCCGGGGCUCAACCCCGGAAUUGCCUUUAAGACUGCAUCGCUUGAAUCCGGGAGAGGUGAGUGGAAUUCCGAGUGUAGAGGUGAAAUUCGUAGAUAUUCGGAAGAACACCAGUGGCGAAAGCGGCUCACUGGACCGGUAUUGACGCUGAGGUGCGAAAGCGUGGGGAGCAAACAGG
rnacentral:rRNA from 1 species